rnacentral:rRNA from 1 species
AUUGAACGCUGGCGGCAGGCCUAACACAUGCAAGUCGAGCGAGCGGCGGACGGGUGAGUAAUGUAUGGGGACUGCCCGAUAGAGGGGGAUAAAUACUGGAAAAGGUAGCUAAUACCGCAUAGUAUGGGAGAAACCAUAUGGGAUUAGCUAGUUGGUGAGGUAAUGGCUCACCAAGGCGACGAGCCCUAGCUGGUCUGAGAGGAUGAUCAGCCACCCGGGAACUGCGACACUGCCCAGCCUCCUACGGAGGCAGCAGUGGGGAAUAUUGCGCAAUGGGGGCAACCCUGACGCAGCCAUGCCGCGUGACUGAAUAAGGCCUUCGGGUUUUAAAGUUCUUUCGGUCGCUAGGCGUUAACUACAGAAGAAGCACCGGCUAACUCCGGGCCAGCAGCCGCGGUAAUAC